rnacentral:rRNA from 1 species
UACGGAGGGUGCGAGCGUUAUCCGGAUUUACUGGGUUUAAAGGGUGUGUAGGCGGAUCUUUAAGUCAGUGGUGAAAUCUUCGGGCUCAACCCGGAAACUGCCAUUGAUACUAUUGGUCUUGAAUACUGUGGAGGUGAGCGGAAUGUGUCAUGUAGCGGUGAAAUGCUUAGAGAUGACACAGAACACCGAUUGCGAAGGCAGCUCACUACGCAGUUAUUGACGCUGAGGCACGAAAGCGUGGGGAUCAAACAGG